UAGACUUAGGUCACCUGCCAUCUUCGGUAAGUGUAGAUACCUGGUGCCUUUGAUUUGUCGACUCUCUAAAUUACACAGGCCAACUCUGCUGGACCCAACAGAAGGAGAAUCUGAAGCCUUCACUCUGGAACAGCUUGAAGCUAUUGGACACAGGUCAGGUCUGUAACACUGGUAUAUUCCCAUUAGAGAACCUGCUAAGAGAAGUGUUGCCUUCUUUGAACCCCAGGAAAACUCAGCUGUCUUAAGGGUCCACGGCCUGAGGGGUCGCUCCAUUUCCCCCCUCUAUGCCAUCAGUUUGUGUUGAAAUCUGUGUACAGGGAUGAGAAAUUGCUUUCCUCUCUGACUAGUGAUCUUCCUCUCUAGGUGUCAUGAGAAGAUGCAGGCCGCAUUAAACUCUGAGUCUAUGUCCCCUUUAGAAAGCUCUACUCAUCUGGAGAAAAAUGAUUUUCUCCAAAUACUCAAUGGGAAUUAGAAACUUGUUACUAGUCAAUACAUCAUCCAUUAUUUAAUCUUCCAUAUUUAACGUGAGAGAAUGUAAUACAGCAGUUUCCUUUGUGUUUUUCAAUUAUCCAAGUAUCUCAGCAAACAAGUUGAAACACUCUGAUUCGUUUAUUUUCCUUCUGCUUUAAUGUAUAAAAACAAGCAAUUUUGUAUAGUUUUAUAUAUCUACUCUAAUUACAAAAAUUCUAACUUAACACUCCCAUUCAAUUUUCUAUUUUUUUAAUCUGUCAAUUAGUAUCAAUUUUGUAAAGUAUCAUAUAUAGUUACUAAGUCAUGAGUUGCAUUAUAAGGGUAAGAAUUAAAGCUAAUCAAUACCCUACUAAGCAUAGUAAUAAUGAUCACAGUGAUGAAGGCUCUCCUUUCUGAAGUUAAGUGUGAUUGAGAAAAUACCACAGAGCCAUCUGCAGAGACUAGACAGAGAGGGUCCAAGAUGGAAUAGUUGGUCUGUGUACAUAUCUGGGAAAUUGCUUCCCUGCUGCUUUUAUCAGACAUCAUUGCCUUUUUCAGUUUAUGCACACUGACCUCCAUGGUCUCAAUGCAUCUUGCUUUCCUUCAUUCCCAUUUCAUACUCCACUGUAUCACACUUUCUAGAGCACUGGUGCUGUUUUUUUUUUCCUUUAUUUUUAUUUGCCACGUCAUAUGGUCCUUAAAACAGCACUGAUACUCGGGGGAGAAAAGUGGGAAAUUGUGCCUGAUUAACAUGCAAAACUGAUAAUCCUCCUCAUAUAACAGAAUUGACAGUGUGUAAUUCCACAUACACAUUAUUUCCACAAAGUUGCUCACUGAGAUCAUGUCCGAAAUUCACAGUACACUUCCUAGCUUUUAUAAGAUGGGUGCCAGACAACAGGGAAUUUUGACUUAUCCUAAAGCAUAGAAAAGUAAAACCAGAAUGUGAAAUAAUAUGAAUGAUUUCAACAGCUUGCUCUUCUCUGAAAUUCAGAAAUUGAUAUUUUAAAGGUAUCAGAUCUUUAAAAAGUAAGAAGGGAAUUAUUAACUGAGUUCCUAUAGCUUUCUGUAUCAGAUGUGUUUUUUUUCCUAUUUUUACUGUUUCCUACAUAUCUGGUCGUAGGACUCAAUCUUACAAAAGGUGAAAAGGUACUAAUUCCUAGUCAUUAACAGGAAUUUACACCCUAUCAAAAUUGGUAGAAUACUGAAACCCCAGAAUCAGUAACUCAUGUGGCUGUCUUAACUCCUGGAUCUGACCAUAAACACUAGCCUCGCCUCCAGAAUGAAUAUUCAUCUUGCUGAUAAUACAGAUCUACCCUCAACAUAACUAUCAUCUCUGUGUUUGAAUAUGUCAGAAACAAAAAGUAAAUAACACUAUCAAAAACAAUUAAAUUGUGUUCUUCUCAGGUUAAAAUUAUAUGAUAUGCAUAGUCUUCUAUAAAUGACCUAAACCACCUUCUGUAAAUAACCAGCAGCUUUUUUCCAAGACAUAAUCACUUCAGUUUUUAAAAGUCUGUCAAGUUACACACUUAGCAUCAUGUAGACAAAUCAAACAAACAAACAAACAAACAAACAAAAAACCAUUCUGACUGGUGAGCUAGUUUUUUAUACUGCCUUCAAGAGCCUGUAACUCUUAAGUAUCCUACUAAUUUAAAUUACAAGAAUCAAAUUAUAAAAUAUUAUGGUGCGAGGUGACCAAAUGAUAGCCAAACAAUUGGAAGUUCACUUAUUGUUCACUACUGUCUGCAUUUAGGAAUUAUACUUGUGGGCCUUAGGCUUUUUUAAGUUUAUCAUUUAUUAAACCUCAUAGUCUUAGAUUUAAAGUCAACAGAGAGAGAGAGAUGAACACAGGAUACCAGCCACACCUCUAGUAGAUAAAAUUGAUUACUAUCUUAAUUUUCUAACACCAACUCUCUUAGAAACUUAAAUAUCUGUUACAUAUGUAUGUAUAUGUAUGUAUAAACAUUCACAUGUAUCAAAUCCAAAUGGCAGCAGUUUUAAGGAACAAAUGUUUAUUUUUUGUUUGUGCUACAUGUCCAACGGGUAUUGAGAGAGGAUUCUAAUCCAUGUUGGCAAGGACCUAUAUUAAUGAAGACUUACCAUUUUAUGACACUCUAUCUCAACUUAAAAUUUCAAAUCUAUUGAAGACAUAGAAAAAUCAUGUGUUUACAUGAAGGUAUUACAAGAUAAAAGCAAAUGGAAGACAGACACACCAAAUGAAGAACAUUGACAGCUGAUGACAGCCACCUCCAUCUAUAAUAGACUUGUAUGAGAAGGAAAUAAUAUGUUAUGCUAAGCCACUGAAAUUUGGUCUUUUUUUCUUAAUGCAUCAUAAUCUCACCUAUCUGGACUAAUACACAGAGACCAAAAGGAUGAACAGUGAUUAGCACAUAUUGUAUAUUCCAAGGUGUACUGGGAAAUGUAACAGAGGAUACUGCAUGGCAUGCUGAUGAGAUUAUCCUUAGAUCAGAGGCAAAGUUUAGCCAUUAAAAGCUUUUGAACAUUGAAUUUGUACUCACUGGAAUUAUGGUCUCUUGUCUGUACUGGAUUUCGAGAUCCUGAAGUGCAUAAAUUCAUCUUAUUCUCUCUGGGACUUGAGCAGCACUCAGCAUGCCAUCUAACAAGUUUUGUGAGACCUCAAUAAAUCUUUGUUAAAUUUAAUUUUCUCUUAUAUGCUUUAAUUUGCUGUAAAGCAAUCCUCCCAUUGAAAUGAAGAUUAAAUAGUGACACAAAAUA